rnacentral:lncRNA from 1 species
GAAAUCCUAGCAGCACUGGAGGAUUCAUCUCCCCGCCCUGCUGUGCCGUGGAGAUGGGGUGCCCCGCGAGGAAGCGAUGUCCCCUCCUGCGCAUGGAUUUCGGCUGAAUGUCAAACCAGCAUGGCUACUGGGAGAACUGGGACAGGAAAAUGAGCUGGGAAUCGUCUGAUGGAGCUGCUCUCCACCACGGGAACCCUGUGCUGUGCCCCUCUGAACACUGAAUUUGGGAAUAUUUGGGAUGUGCAUGGUGCCCCCCUGCUCCUGCAGCUGGCAGCACGCCUGGAGGACAAGGUGCAGGCUGGCCGAGCCGUUCCCUUGUCCUGACACUUGUUUCUCUGCACGUUUUGGCACCUUUCUGCUGCUGAAAGGGGCAGAUGCAAUAACUGCUGGAGUGUCUCCAUCGCUAGGAGUGAGGAGGAGCAAUCAGCCUGACCACGUGCAGGCUUGGGACUUCUCCUCGACCAAGCGGACAGCCCUGAGCAGGAGGAUUUGCCCUGGGAUGUUUUCUCUUUGGGAUGAUCUCAAGAGUCUGGAGCCCUCGUGGACUGCAGAGGGGUUUGGAUGUUCCCUUCUGCCUCCGUCUGGGAGCGAGCCUUGCUGCCUGAAGGCCACGGACACCUGCUUCUCCCCGAAUCUGGUGGAUUAUUGCUCUUGGCAUCGUCCUGCUGCUGCAGCGUUUUUUUUGUGGAUCUCAUGGAGCUGCCUUUGCAUGAAACCACCCAGCUCACAGAUAUGGGAAAGCAGCAGCUCCAGCACAGGGCUCAGAGCCCCUCUCUUUUUUUUUUUUUGGGCUGCUUCAUUCAGCAUCGUGGCUCUUUGGAGGAGGAUGGAGUCUGUGCACCUGUGUAGGACAAGUCCCGCUGGUCUUAGGGUCGGUGGUGAAGGCUGCGGGCACCUGAGAGGGGAGCCACAGGGACCGCGGCCACCCAGCUGAGGAUGGAUGCUUCAACUGCGAGCACGGAGGGAGGAAAAGCAGAGGCAGCACGACACGUCUGGCACCCAGCAGGGGAGCAGGGUGCACCCGGGGCCGUGGCGAGCUCCUGCACCCAGCACCGACCAUGGGAACAGCCCCAGCGCAGCCACCCAGCGUGCGCUCGCCGUGACUCACGUCCCCGCUCGGCGAGGGGUCCUCCCGCACUGACCUCGCUCCGCUGGCUCCCACGCAGGGCAGAGAUGACUGAAUUACUGCUCCCCGCUGGGCUCUGCAAAUUCUCCUCUUGGCCGGGUGGCUUCCAGGCCGGAUACGUGGGGCUGGAUGGCUGAGUGCGCUCAGGUCACACAGUAGCUCCACAUUUUCCCCUGCGAAGGACCAAGCGCUUGCCCGGUUCCAAGGAAGCAGCUGUGGAAUUUUAUUUUAUUUUGUUUUUGUGCCCCUCUGCUCUUCCUUCUGACUCUUUUCGUGGUCUGGGGCUUUUCACGAGGAUGGUUGGACCCAGCCUGCAGCACCGAGUGCGGUCUCCCUGCAGAGGGAUGAAAGCCUCCGGAGGAGCCGCACGCCAGGACCGAGUUGGCAGCCUCAAUGCUGUGGGUUUGAAACUGUCUGGAAGAUUGUCCCCUCGUGUCACCAGCAUUGCACGGCCGUGGGUCACCCAUGGGGGUGCCCUCCCGGUGCAGUGCAGGAGGCGCCGGCUACCCCCGGGGCUGAGCAUCCUCAUCCCCGCCACAUCCCCCAUGGGACGAGGAGGGGCUGGGGGGCACGGGGCCAAGCCGCAGCGAGGGGAAUGUCGAGAGAAAAAAUGUCACCCCCUCCCCCCCAGAAACAAUUAAACGGCUUAAUAAAACCCUUUGCCUCUCUGAGUGCUCGCUGUUC